rnacentral:rRNA from 1 species
AGUGGCGGACGGGUGAGUAACGCGUGGAGAACCUGCCGUAUACUGGGGGAUAACACUUAGAAAUAGGUGCUAAUACCGCAUAAGCGCACAGCUUCGCAUGAAGCAGUGUGAAAAACUCCGGUGGUAUACGAUGGAUCCGCGUCUGAUUAGCUGGUUGGCGGGGUAACAGCCCACCAAGGCGACGAUCAGUAGCCGGCCUGAGAAGGUGAACGGCCACAUUGGGACUGAGACACGGCCCAAACUCCUACGGGAGGCAGCAGUGGGGAAUAUUGCACAAUGGGGGAAACCCUGAUGCAGCGACGCCGCGUGAGUGAAGAAGUAUUUCGGUAUGUAAAGCUCUAUCAGCAGGGAAGAAAUACUGACCUUACGGUCAGCAGACGGUACCUGACUAAGAAGCCCCGGCUAACUACGUGCCAGCAGCCGCGGUAAUACGUAGGGGGCAAGCGUUAUCCGGAUUUACUGGGUGUAAAGGGAGCGUAGACGGCAGCGCAAGUCUGAAGUGAAAUCCCAUGGCUUAACCAUGGAACUGCUUUGGAAACUGUGCAGCUAGAGUGCAGGAGAGGUAAGCGGAAUUCCUAGUGUAGCGGUGAAAUGCGUAGAUAUUAGGAGGAACACCAGUGGCGAAGGCGGCUUACUGGACUGUAACUGACGUUGAG